rnacentral:rRNA from 1 species
GACGAACGCUGGCGGCGUGGAUUAGGCAUGCAAGUCGAACGGUAGGAUACCUUCGGGUAUCUGAGAGUGGCGAACGGGUGAGUAACACGUAGGUGAUCUACCCUCAAGAUUGGGACAACCCAGGGAAACUUGGGCUAAUACCGGAUGAAAGCAGCAGUGAUGUUGUUUGAAAGGUGGCGUAAGCUGCCGUUUGGGGAUGAGCCUGCGCUCUAUUAGUUAGUUGGCGGGGUAAGGCCCACCAAGGCGAUGAUAGAUAGGCGGCCUUAACGGGUGGUCGCCCACACUGGGAUUGAGAUACGGCCCAGACUCCUACGGGAGGCAGCAGUCGAGAAUAGUCUACAAUGGCCGAAAGGCUGAUAGUGCGACGCCGCGUGAACGAAGAAGCCCUUCGGGUGUAAGUUACUUUUAUAUGUGAGCAGUGCUUUCUAUGUGAACAGCAUGGGGAGAGAGAUAUUAGCAUAUGAAUAAGCAACGGCUAACUCUGUGCCAGC